rnacentral:rRNA from 1 species
GACGAACGCUGGCGGCGCGCCUAACACAUGCAAGUCGAACGAGCGAGAGAGAGCUUGCUUUCUCAAGCGAGUGGCGAACGGGUGAGUAACGCGUGAGGAACCUGCCUCAAAGAGGGGGACAACAGUUGGAAACGACUGCUAAUACCGCAUAAGCCCACGACCCGGCAUCGGGUAGAGGGAAAAGGAGCAAUCCGCUUUGAGAUGGCCUCGCGUCCGAUUAGCUAGUUGGUGAGGUAACGGCCCACCAAGGCGACGAUUGGUAGCCGGACUGAGAGGUUGAACCGCCAACAUGGGGACGAAGCACAGCCGCAGACCCUUCGGGGAGGGGGGAGGGGGAAAUAUAGAACAAUGGGGAAACCCCUGAUGCGCCGCCGCGGGGUGAAGAAAGAGGGUUUGGGAAUUAAAAACUCUUUUUGUGGGGGAAGAUAAGGAGGUUACCAAAAAGGAAAGCGAGGGCAAAGUCCGUC